rnacentral:rRNA from 1 species
CGGCGGACGGGUGAGUAACGCGUGGGUAACCUGCCUCAUACAGGGGGAUAACAGUUAGAAAUGACUGCUAAUACCGCAUAAGACCACGGUACCGCAUGGUACAGUGGUAAAAACUCCGGUGGUAUGAGAUGGACCCGCGUCUGAUUAGGUAGUUGGUGGGGUAACGGCCUACCAAGCCGACGAUCAGUAGCCGACCUGAGAGGGUGACCGGCCACAUUGGACUGAGACACGGUCCAA